UUGUGAUCACUUAUGAUAGUGUAAGAUAAAUAUAGACUAAUAUAUACAUCUAUACAUAUAUGCUAUGAUUUUUGCAUUUGUGAGAUAAUUGUAGAUAUUAUUAAAAUAGUUAGUUGUGUUUCCUUAUCUUGAAAGCAGUCUAUGGACAAGGGCAGACUGCAAUCUACACUUUUAUUUCAUUAACUAGCCAGUUACAACUAAUGCUAAUAAGCAUUUUAGGACCAAAAAAUAAAAGACCUCCCUUUACCCCUUUCAGUAUGUUUUAAAUGUCAUGUCCAGAUCAUCUCUUAAAUUGAUUGUCACUCAAUGACUUGGUUUUACAUUAUUUUGCAAUGAUUAUGGCAUGAUUUAAUGGGAUACUAGGCAUUUUGGCAAUGAGGCCCUUUAUCUACUUCCCCAGAGUCAGAUGAACUUGGAGAUAUAGUGUUUAUGUCUCUGUGUCCAUCUAGUAUGAAGGAAGUUAGAGGUUGUUUCGCCAACUGAAAGUCUAUGGGUAUCGACUAGCAUGGUAGUCGAUACCCAUGAGAGGUUGACUUGAAAGUAGUGCCAACUGUCACUUGUUAGCAGUGGCUAGUUAAUUGAAACCAAAUUGUGGAUUACAGUUAGUUCUUAUUCACAUAUUGCAUUCAAGCUAAGAAAACAAACGAUCUAAAAAUGUAAUUACGCUGAACAAUCCCUUUAAGUUGUUCAGAAGUAGUUAACAUUCAGAUUUAUAUCCAGAGUAAAAAGCACAUUUUUUUAGGUUAUUGUGCUGUAGAAUUUAGUAUUUCAUUUGUGUUAAGCUGUUUUACAAAUUAUUGUAAUAAUGUUAAAUAGUUAAUUACCUAGUGUCGCAGUUGAUCAGAGUUGUUAAAUUGCUUAACUAGUAAAAUUGCACAACUUUAACAAACAAUGCCAAUUUGUGUGCUGAAGAGAACAAAGACAGUGUAAAAUAAAGAAACACAACUUGCCUUCUCAUUAUGAGGGGAAAUGGGAUAACAGCUCAAAUGGAGUAGGGCUGCUUGAAUUGGGUUUGAACAGCAUUUAAAAUACAAUCAUUACUUACUGUACGUGAUCUUUAUUAAACUUUACAAUACCACUUUUAGGAAACCAACAGUUACAUAUCUGAAACGGAAGAAAAGAAAUGAAGAAAGCUUAAAGUCAUCAGGAACAGCAUUUAUUGGACAGGUUAUAAAGUUUUGGAAUAGUCCCCUGUGGGUGGGAGUUGACAGAAUAGAAGAUUACGUGAAAAAGGUACACAUCGCCUAAUUAAAUACACUAAUCAAACGCCUAAAAUACAUUCUCACACAUUUAGCACAUUUUUGGUUUACUAUACAUUUCAUCAGGUUACAAAUGAAUUGUUUCCAGAACAAACCAUUAUUAAUUGAUCUUGUUAUGUUAUACAUUGUUCAUUAAUUAUGUUAUUAAUUAUUCAUGUCUUUUAAAAGUUGCUUCAUAGCAUCUUUUUCUUAGGUCACAUUCAUGAGGUCGGGCUUCUUCCAACUGACUUCUUUGAGUCUCAAGAUGUGAUGGACGAUUUAGAAACAAAAUUUAAAAUGACAUUCAACAAUUACAGGCUUCCACCCCGUCAGACUCCAUUUUCCAUUCUUCUGACUUUGGCUGUCAGGAGUUGUGGUCAUGAGGACGAAGAUAGAAUACAAGAACAUCUUCUAAGUUUCCUGGAAGAAUUGCAAUUGCCCCCCAAUAUAAAAGGCGAGAGUAACUACACCAACUACUACACUCUGGAGGCUACUGUCAUAGCUGUGUGCUACAACGAAACCCCUGGAGUCCUCAGACCAGUGAAGUACUAUGGAGCAUCCCUGUCCUGCAGAGGGGAGAGAGCAAAGAGAAUUAUGAUCAAUCAGUCAUGUCUAAACGUGUGGCAUGACUAUGUGUCUUAUGCAGUGUUGUCAUUCAGACAUCAUGACCACGGAAACGGGAUCAGCUUCCCUGGCACCGUAAAAUGCAGAGCAUUCUACAGGAAUCACAAGAACAAUUGUUAUGAAGCCCGAAGGCCGUGCAGUAACUGUGGGGAUCUUUUCUCUCUCGCAAACCCUGAGACGGACAGAAAUGACUUUCCCUAUGGAAACUGUGCCGAAACGGAGUGCCUGAGUAACCUUAUUGUCAAUGAUGAGGAUGUCAGGAGCAACAUGAUUUUGGGAAUCAACUACACAAGUGAAAACCUGAGAGGUCUUAGAGAAAUGGCAGAAAUAGCUUUGGAACAGAUUCUUAUGGCUACUUAGCAGGUCUACUUAGCACCUCUGAACAGUGUGCAUUUGGCCGUCAUUUUCAAACCAACUGCAAACUGUGACUGUGUAAACUUCUAUUAUGUGAUCAGGAUGUCUGCAGCAAUAUGAGUUUUGUACACUACACAAGAGAAAAUGUCUUAGAAAAAUGACAGAAAACGCUUUUAAACAUUUAGGUUUUGUUUCACACAGGUUUUAUACAUGGUGUUUUUGCUGUGUUUGACUUGGUAGUUUCAGAGGAAACUACAAGAACAAUGGUGUUCUUUAAUCACUCAACUGUGAUUAAGGCAACUGUGCCAGAGUCAUAAUGCACAAGUAAAUGGUUUCUGUCACUGAGAGUUGUGAAUUACAGCUCGGACAAACAAUACAAUUAUUACCACUAAUAACAGACAUAAAAAGCAGCCACCUUGGGAAUACAGUUGUUUUACUUUUUGGUUUGGUCUUUGUGUUUGGUUGUUUACUUUUAAUUGAUUUAUUUUGGGGGAUGUUUAAUUGUAAUAAGCUAUCAACUUUGUCCCUUGUUAAAUAGUCUGCCAUGUGCUUUGUGUCACAGUGGAAAAUGAAUGGAAUGAAAAUGAACACAUUUCUGAUGUGACAGGAAACUGCAGAAAGGGUGUGACACUGAACUUGUUUGAAUGUAUUCAGUGAAACCCCAGCUAAAAGAGUGGACUAAAACAACAGACAGCACCAUGAUUAUCUAACAUUGUGUUUCUUUAUGACACAAACUUAUCUUGUAAAUAUUUUGAAUCCAUCAAUAAAUGAGAAUUGUUAAAAGUU